CGGGCUGUGGCGCAGCUUGGUUAGCGCGCCUGACUGGGGGUCAGGAGGUCGGAGGUUCGAAUCCUCUCAGCCCGA
rnacentral:tRNA from 1 species